rnacentral:rRNA from 1 species
UACGUAGGGGGCAAGCGUUGUCCGGAUUUAUUGGGCGUAAAGAGCGUGUAGGCGGCUUGGAAGGUCAGCUGUGAAAACUCGAGGCUCAACCUCGAGACGUCGGUUGAAACCACCUGGCUAGAGUCCGGAAGAGGAGUGUGGAAUUCCCGGUGUAGCGGUGAAAUGCGCAGAUAUCGGGAAGAACACCCGUGGCGAAGGCGGCACUCCGGGACGGUACUGACGCUGAGACGCGAAAGCGUGGGGAGCGAACAGG